GCCCCAGUGGCCUAAUGGAUAAGGCACUGGCCUCCUAAGCCAGGGAGGUUGUGGGUUCGAGUCCCGUCUGGGGUGA
rnacentral:tRNA from 1 species